ensembl:lncRNA
CCCGUGUGCGGGCCGUGCGAUCGCCGCUAACGGCCGGCCCCGCUCGGUGCGUUGCAGCCGGGAGCGCCUGGCACCGCGCUGACCGUCCGCCCGUGGAGCCGGCAGCGGAGGACGAGCGGCGGCACGACGAGGACCGGCACGACGACGACGACGACGAGGACGAGCGGAGCCUGCGGACGGCCCUCAAGAAGCUGCGGCUGGACGCGGCGCGGCGGCACGAGGACGAGGAGGAGCAGCAGCAGCAGCAGCAGGACGACGACGAGGACGAGGACGACGAGGACGAGGAGGAGCGCAGCCUGCGGACGGCCCUCCAGGAGCUGCGGGUGGACGCGGCGCGGUGUGAGAGGACUGCAGGAGGACCGGCCGGUCUCUCACGGCACGGACGUUCCAGGUCUCCUGUCCUGUAUCCUCCCACGUUUACGCACUGCGGCACAAAACACAAAACCCGGUCACACACACCAAAGACUCACGUCCGUUCCAGUGUUUGUGCUACAGCAGAACACGGCACAGAGGACAGACACAGUCCUCACUUUGAGGCCAGCCAUGGCAGAAGAGCCACAGCUGAACCUCUGCUGAACCACCGCUGCGGGGCCUGUGGGGAAGUCACGGGAGAACUGCCUCGCUCUGCCCUCAUCGUCUCACUCUGACUCACACAACAGCCAAACCUCACUUUUCCUUUCCUUAUCCACGCUUCACAGAUCCAUCUGUGAAACAGCCCUGUGCAGCCCUCCCGCAUCCCGUUCUGUGGAGGCUCACGCUUAUGUCAGUGACGUGACUGUGGAAGACCUGGCAGGGUACCUGGAACACCAUCUGCAUAUACCAAAGAAAAUGUCUGCCAUGGCAGAAAUGAUGUAUUCAUAACCAAACAGCAAAAACAGUCACAGUCCUAAG